rnacentral:tRNA from 1 species
CGGGAAGUAGCUCAGCUUGGUAGAGCACUUGGUUUGGGUCCAAGGGGUCGCAGGUUCGAAUCCUGUCUUCCCGA